rnacentral:miRNA from 1 species
CCCAGCACGCCUACCCCGGGCC